rnacentral:misc_RNA from 1 species
UUGUGGAGGAGGACGCCGAAGGUGGGGCUAAUGACUGGGGUGAAGUCGUAACAAGGUAGCCGUACCGGAAGGUGCGGCUGGAUCACCUCCUGACAGGGAGACAACAAAAUGUUAAAUAUUAAUUUUGUCACCUUAGGUCGAUCGGUAUCUCACAUUCUUGAUUAUUUAAGGAUUUUAUUUCCUAAGUUUUUUCUAGGUCACACCCAUUACUUUUCCUGGGCCAUUAGCUCAGGUGGUUAGAGCGCACCCCUGAUAAGGGUGAGGUCCCUGGUUCAAGUCCAGGAUGGCCCAUAUCUCUAUGUUGGGGGUAUAGCUCAGUUGGUAGAGCGCCUGCUUUGCAAGCAGGAUGUCAGCGGUUCAAGUCCGCUUACCUCCACUGAUCACCACCUCUUCAUAAUUUAUAGAAGGGAAUUGUUUUGAGUUAUGAUCAAAUUCUGAACGAAUCUAGCUUCCUAAUUGAAUCUAUUAAGAUGCUGGACUCAUUGAAUUAAUUUCAUUGUUUUCAGAGAACCUUGACAACUGCAUAGAUUAUUUUAAAGACAAUAAGCAUCUUUAAUGAUGCAGAUUUAUUAUUUGUGCGAAUGCAUUAAAUAACAAUUCUAUUAAGCUGAUGCUUCAAUUUUUGAAGUUAUUGGUCAAGCUACAA